GAGAACGAGGCGGCGGGCGAGCGGGCGAGUCCUUCCCUGCAAGGAUGGCUCAUCUGCGGGGACUCCGCCCAUACCGCCCGCCUCGCCGGAGCCCAGCAUCAUUGGCUGCCUACCAUGUUGCCAGGCACCGUGCAAGGUUUGGGAAUACACAGCUGAAUGAAACAAAACCGUGCCUUCAAGGAGCUUACAGUCUAUUGGGGAAACAGACCAGAAACGGGUAACUACAAAAUAAAGACACGAGUGCAAGGAGAGAGCUUUUGUCUUAACUCAGGCAAAGCAUCCUGUGAUGGGGACCAGAACUAGCCCCUCAAGCAGUAACAAGUGCCCCGAGCCAGCAAGACCCCACAUGACUGACCUCAAGACAGCGAUUGACCUUACCUUUGCUGCCCACCUGCAUGUACCACCCCCCCCCAACUUUUGCCCACAUUUUCCCUGUAUAAACCCAGAGGUUUUGGA